rnacentral:rRNA from 1 species
UGGGGAAUAUUGGACAAUGGGCGAAAGCCUGAUCCAGCCAUGCCGCGUGUGUGAAGAAGGUCUUCGGAUCGUAAAGCACUUUAAGGUGGGAGGAAGGGCAGUAAGCGAAUACCUUGCUGUUUUGACGUUACCGACAGAAUAAGCACCGGCUAACUCUGUGCCAGCAGCCGCGGUAAUACAGAGGGUGCAAGCGUUAAUCGGAAUUACUGGGCGUAAAGCGCGCGUAGGUGGUUCGUUAAGUUGAAUGUGAAAGCCCCGGGCUCAACCUUGGACCUGCAUCCAAAACUGGCGAGCUAGAGUAGGGCAGAGGGUGGUGGAAUUUCCUGUGUAGCGGUGAAAUGCGUAGAUAUAGGAAGGAAAACCAGUGGCGAAGGCGACCACCUGGGCUCAUACUGACACUGAGGUGCGAAAGCGUGGGGAGCAAACAGG